rnacentral:misc_RNA from 1 species
UAUCCGUAGGUGAACCUGCGGAAGGAUCAUUAUUGUAUCACCGAGGUGCGAGGGCUGUCGCUGACCCGAGUGGUCGUGCACGCACGCGUGACCUACCACACCUCCAUCUCAGCCAGAUAUGAACCACCACGCGGGUGCCCCUUUUACCUGUUUGGAGAGGACCUUCCGUUUUCACAAAUACUUUUGUUUAAGCGCAUAAUGUCUUUUUUGUUUUUCCGUUCACACCGGCUAUCCAACUUUCAACAACGGAUAUCUUGGCUCUCGAUUCGAAGAGCAAAC